AGAGUUUGAUUCCCUGGCUCAGGAUGAACGCUGGCGGCGUGCCUAACACAUGCAAGUCGAACGGUCCCUUUCGGGGAUAGUGGCGGACGGGUGAGUAACGCGUGAGGAUCUGGCUACAGGACGGGGACAACGAAUGGAAACGUUCGCUAAUACCCGAUGUGCCGAGAGGUGAAAGAUUUAUUGCCUGUAGAUGAACUCGCGUCGGAUUAGCUAGUUGGUGGGGUAAGGGCCUACCAAGGCGACGAUCCGUAGCUGGUCUAAGAGGAUGAUCAGCCACACUGGGACUGAGACACGGCCCAGACUCCUACGGGAGGCAGCAGUGGGGAAUUUUCCGCAAUGGGGGGAACCCUGACGGAGCAACGCCGCGUGCGGGAGGAAGGCCUCCGGGUUGUAAACCCGCUUUUCUCUGGGAAGAAGAACUGACG
rnacentral:rRNA from 1 species